AUACUUACCUGAUGGGGGAGAUACCAUGUUCAUGAAGGUGGUUUUCCCAGGGUGUUUCAUCCUUUGCUCCAGUUAUGCUGAGCCCUGCCAUUUCCUAAAGUCCAAGAAACUGGACUGUGUAAUUUGUGGUAGUGUCGGGCUGUGUUGUCCUUUUUCCCUG
rnacentral:snRNA from 1 species